CUACGGGUUGCACCAGUCGAGAAUAGUCUACAAUGGACGAAAGUCUGAUAGUGCAACGCCGCGUGGGUGAAGAAGCAUUUCGGUGUGUAAAACCCUUUUCUUUGUGAGCAAUGACCUUAUGGUUAAUAGCUUUAAGGUAGAGAUAUUAGCAGAGGAAUAAGCCACGGCUAACUCCGUGCCAGCAGCCGCGGUAACACGGGGGUGGCAAGCGUUGUCCGGAAUCACUAGGCGUAAAGGGCAAGUAGGCGGAGUAUCAAGUCAGAUGUUAAAGGCAUUGGCUCAACCAAUGUAUGGCAUUUGAUACUGGUAUUCUAGAAUUUGGUAUGGGAAGACGGAAUUCCUGGUGUAGCGGUGGAAUGCGCAGAUAUCAGGAAGAACACCGGAGGCGAAGGCGGUCUUCUGGAUCAAAAUUGACGCUGAAUUGCGAAGGUGUGGGUAUCAAACAGGAUUAGAUACCCGAGUAGUC
rnacentral:rRNA from 1 species